rnacentral:lncRNA from 1 species
GCAGGGUUUCUUUCUGGGAGCCAUAGGAAUUAUCUUCUGUGCCUCAUCCUUGCUCUCUGGUAUUGUAAUUGCUGUUCUGCUCCCAGUUACAGAGAUCCUAGCUGUUAUUUUUUACCACGAGAAGUUUCAAGCAGAAAAGGGGGUUGCUCUUGCACUCUCUCUGUGGGGUUUUGUCUCAUAUUUCUAUGGGGAGAGAAAAUACAGCAAGCAAAAAGAAAGUGAAAUGAAAAAUGAAAGAGAAAAAGAAGUAGAAAUAGGAAAGAAAGAUACCCCAGAAACAGCAGAAGUUUCUCAACUCGAUCCCUAGGCCAUGAAAGCGCAAGCUGUUGUUUCAUGUCUUCUUCUCUGUUGGAGUUUCCGAUCCGAAGGAGGGAAAGGCUGCAUCUUCUGUCAUUUGUCAUAUAUUCUUAACAUUUCGGAUGUUAGAACUUACUUUUCCUCUCAAAUAUUAUUAGUAUGAUUAAGGUCAAAUAGUAAACCAAAAUUGACAAACUGAUCUAUUUUAAUUGGCAGUUUAUGUGAAUUUGUACGUGAAUGAAAAGGUUCAAUUGAGAAUACACAUUGUCAUAUAUGCUACUGGUGCACCUAAUCACACCAAAUUGUUUGAAAGGCAUUCACAUGAACAAAAAUUCUGAAUUCUCUUGACCACAAAGCAAUCAGGCAUGAGAAGUAAAACGAGGAGCCGAGGAGCUCACCAUGUGUUCGAUACAGUGCCUCGCUCAGCGAGGAAAGCCUACGAGGCCAAUCAACUUGAUCAACGGUCCAACGACGACCAAACGCCUCCGAAGCUGCAUUUCAGUAGAUAUAAAUUCCAAGCGUAAAGCGAAAUUGAUGAAGAAAACAGAAUGAGUCGUUGAGCUUCGUCUUCCUCACCGGACCAAGUAAGCACAAUUUUCGCAUUUUAGAGGUGUUUGGCUACUGUGAAGGAUGAAGCUCCUCAAAUUGUUGUUGUGAUUGGAAGCUCUGGAAAUUCGAGAGAAGAAGAAUCGAGAAACGAAUAAUCGACGCGACUACAACACGUUGCGUGGUGGGGUUAAGUAGAUGAAAACGGUGUCGUUCGGCAACAUAUUUACUUACUGACUUUCAGAUAUUCUGGUCCCGACACGUACGGACGCCCCUGAUCUUUCUUCAACCAACGAAGAGGAUCGGUGAGCUCUGCAGUUUGGACUUCCAUGGCGACUAGCUGUGGGCUCUUCACCGGUCUGAGACGGUGCUCCCCACACUUCGCGAACUCAGUCGGGUGGAGGAGGCAGCUGUCGUCGCUCUGCUCUUCGUCUUCCCCAGUUGAAAGGCGCAAGGACGACGAGCUCAAGAGCAAGAUUUUUGGGCUAAAAAAUCCGGGUCGGAGCGCAACCACUGUGAUUCAGAAAUGGGUCGACCGCGGCAACAAGGUCUCUGUUCUGGAACUCCGUCGCAUUUCCAUUCAACUCUUGAAAUCUAAGCGCUUCGACCAUGCCCUCCAGGUUUCAAUUCUUCGUUUGUUUGCACAAAAUAUGCUUAAAGCUUGAAGAUUAGGAUAUUUUGUAGAGUUUUUCAAUCGAAAUUUCUUCCUUUUCA